rnacentral:piRNA from 1 species
CAGAAGAGCAACCUAAAGUUCAAGUGA